UUACCCCUACGGGGGGCAGCAGUGGGGAAUAUUGGACAAUGGGGGAAACCCUGAUCCAGCGACGCCGCGUGAGUGAAGAAGUAUUUCGGUACGUAAAGCUCUAUCAGCAGGAAAGAAAAUGACGGUACCUGACUAAGAAGCCCCGGCUAACUACGUGCCAGCAGCCGCGGUAAUACGUAGGUGGCAAGCGUUGUCCGGAUUUACUGGGUGUAAAGGGCGUGUAGCCGGGCUGACAAGUCAGAUGUGAAAUCCGGGGGCUCAACCCCCGAACUGCAUUUGAAACUGUUGGUCUUGAGUAUCGGAGG
rnacentral:rRNA from 1 species